rnacentral:rRNA from 1 species
ACGGGAGGCAGCAGUGGGGAAUAUUGCACAGUGGGGGAAACCCUGAUGCAGCGACGCCGCGUGGACGAUGAAGUAUUUCGGUAUGUAAAGUUCUAUCAGCAGGGAAGAUAAUGACGGUACCUGACUAAGAAGCACCGGCUAAAUACGUGCCAGCAGCCGCGGUAAUACGUAUGGUGCAAGCGUUAUCCGGAUUUACUGGGUGUAAAGGGCGCGUAGGCGGGGAGACAAGUCAGGUGUGAAAUCUAUGGGCUUAACCCAUAAACUGCAUUUGAAACUGUAUCUCUUGAGUGCUGGAGAGGUAGAUGGAAUUCCUUGUGUAGCGGUGAAAUGCGUAGAUAUAAGGAAGAACACCAGUGGCGAAGGCGAUCUACUGGACAGUAACUGACGCUGAGGCGCGAAAGCGUGGGGAGCAAACAGGAUUAGAUACCCUGGUA